rnacentral:rRNA from 1 species
CCUACGGGAGGCAGCAGUGGGGAAUAUUGCACAAUGGGGGAAACCCUGAUGCAGCGACGUCGCGUGAGUGAUGAAGUAUUUCGGUAUGUAAAGCUCUAUCAGCAGGGAAGAAAAUGACGGUACCUGACUAAGAAGCCCCGGCUAACUACGUGCCAGCAGCCGCGGUAAUACGUAGGGGGCAAGCGUUAUCCGGAUUUACUGGGUGUAAAGGGAGCGUAGACGGCGGUGCAAGCCAGAUGUGAAAGCCCGGGGCUCAACCCCGGGACUGCAUUUGGAACUGUGCUGCUAGAGUGUCGGAGAGGCAGGCGGAAUGCCUAGUGUAGCGGUGGAAUGCGUAGAUAUUAGGAGGAACAUAAGUGGCGAAGGCGACUAUCUGGACAGCAACUGACACUGAGGCACGAAAGCGUGGGGAGCAAACAGGAUUAGAUACCCCUGUAGUC